rnacentral:rRNA from 1 species
GCUACCUGCAGUCGACGGCAGCACAGAAGAGCUUGCUCUUUGGGUGGCGAGUGGCGGACGGGUGAGUAAUGUCUGGGAAACUGCCCGAUGGAGGGGGAUAACUACUGGAAACGGUAGCUAAUACCGCAUAACGUCGCAAGACCAAAGUGGGGGACCUUCGGGCCUCACGCCAUCGGAUGUGCCCAGAUGGGAUUAGCUAGUAGGUGGGGUAAUGGCUCACCUAGGCGACGAUCCCUAGCUGGUCUGAGAGGAUGACCAGCCACACUGGAACUGAGACACGGUCCAGACUCCUACGGGAGGCAGCAGUGGGGAAUAUUGCACAAUGGGCGCAAGCCUGAUGCAGCCAUGCCGCGUGUAUGAAGAAGGCCUUCGGGUUGUAAAGUACUUUCAGCGGGGAGGAAGGCGGUGAGGUUAAUAACCUCGCCGAUUGACGUUACCCGCAGAAGAAGCACCGGCUAACUCCGUGCCAGCAGCCGCGGUAAUACGGAUGGUGCAAGCGUUAAUCGGAAUUACUGGGCGUAAAGCGCACGCAGGCGGUCUGUUAAGUCAGAUGUGAAAUCCCCGGGCUUAACCUGGGAACUGCAUUUGAAACUGGCAGGCUUGAGUCUCGUAGAGGGGGGUAGAAUUCCAGGUGUAGCGGUGAAAUGCGUAGAGAUCUGGAGGAAUACCGGUGGCGAAGGCGGCCCCCUGGACGAAGACUGACGCUCAGGUGCGAAAGCGUGGGGAGCAAACAGGAUUAGAUACCCUGGUAGUCCACGCCGUAAACGAUGUCGACUUGGAGGUUGUGCCCUUGAGGCGUGGCUUCCGGAGCUAACGCGUUAAGUCGACCGCCUGGGGAGUACGGCCGCAA